rnacentral:rRNA from 1 species
UACGUAGGGUGCGAGCGUUAAUCGGAAUUACUGGGCGUAAAGCGUGCGCAGGCGGUUCGUUGUGUCUGUGGUGAAAGCCCCGGGCUUAACCUGGGAAUGGCCAUGGAAACUGGCGAGCUGGAGUGUGGCAGAGGGGGGUGGAAUUCCGCGUGUAGCAGUGAAAUGCGUAGAGAUGCGGAGGAACACCGAUGGCGAAGGCAGCCCCCUGGGUCAACACUGACGCUCAGGCACGAAAGCGUGGGGAGCAAACAGG